rnacentral:rRNA from 1 species
UACGAAGGGGGCUAGCGUUGUUCGGAAUUACUGGGCGUAAAGCGCACGUAGGCGGAUAUUUAAGUCAGGGGUGAAAUCCCGGGGCUCAACCCCGGAACUGCCUUUGAUACUGGGUAUCUCGAGUCCGAGAGAGGUGAGUGGAAUUCCGAGUGUAGCGGUGAAAUGCGCAGAUAUCAGGAAGAACACCCGUGGCGAAAGCGGCUCUCUGGAACGGUACUGACGCUGAGACGCGAAAGCGUGGGGAGCGAACAGG